rnacentral:lncRNA from 1 species
GAUAACACCAUGGUACCUUGUAUAUAUAGAUCUUUACUUUAGUUUAUUCUCUAGUAUGCCACUUUGAGAUGUGUGUGAAAUAUUUUGGAUAUGGUGAAGUAUGCAUGGAGGUUAUGACUGGUCAAUAAGAAAUCGAUCACUCCUUGUAGGAGGAAGAACAUCUUAUAUGAUCUCAUAGGAUGAUGACUCUGAGAGUCUCUGGCCAGAUUAUGGAUGAAC